rnacentral:rRNA from 1 species
GAUGAACGCUGGCGGCGUGCCUAAUACAUGCAAGUCGAGCGAACGGACGAGAGGCUUGCUUCUCUGAUGUUAGCGGCGGACGGGUGAGUAACACGUGGAUAACCUACCUAUAAGACUGGGAUAACUUCGGGAAACCGGAGCUAAUACCGGAUGAUAUUUUGAACCGCAUGGUUCAAAAGUGAAAGACGGUCUUGCUGUCACUUAUAGAUGGAUCCGAGCUGCAUUAGCUAGUUGGUAAGGUAACGGCUUACCAAGGCAACAAUGCAUAGCCGACCUGAGAGGGUGAUCGGCCACACUGGAACUGAGACACGGUCCAGACUCCUACGGGAGGCAGCAGUAGGGAAUCUUGCGCAAUGGGCGAAAGCCUGACGGAGCAACGCCGCGUGAGUGAUGAAGGUCUUCGGAUCGUAAAACUCUGUUAGUAGGGAAGAACAUAUGUGUAAGUAACUGUGCACAUCUUGACGGUACCUAAUCAGAAAGCCACGGCUAACUACGUG